CAGGGAGACAACACAAUGAUUUUGAUGCCUGAGUACUUUUAUUCUUAGGCCGAAAUCCUGUCACCUUAGGUCGAUCGGUACCUCAGCUUUGAAGUUAAGAAUCAGCAGCAAUGUUGAUUGCUUGAUGGAGAUUUUCAGUUCCUAAACUUUGUCUAGGUCACACCCCAAAAGGGAUGAGACUCCUGGGCCAUUAGCUCAGGUGGUUAGAGCGCACCCCUGAUAAGGGUGAGGUCCCUGGUUCAAGUCCAGGAUGGCCCAUUCGGUGUUGGGGGUUUAGCUCAGUUGGUAGAGCGCCUGCUUUGCAAGCAGGAUGUCAGGAGUUCGAGUCUCCUAACCUCCACUGACCGAACUUGAUUCCCAUCUCCAAUUUUUUGGAGUUGAGCUCGAUUGGAGUGUGAUUUAGAUGUGUCCGCUGGAUGAUUCCAGCUUCCUGUCAUUCCAAGUUUUAGGUUGAUGCCUUGAAUUUGGUUGAUAAGAUGCUGGGCUCGGAUCAAAUGAUCAAGCAAUUGAUGAUUUGAUUUGAAGUUCUAGCGGAACCUUGACAACUGCAUAGGUGAGUCUGGAAAAAACAAAGCAUCUUACAGAUGCAUUGUUUUAAACCCGAUCUUCUGAAAGGGAGAUUGGAUCUAGAACAAUGAAAAUUCUUUUGAGCAAGAGCCGAGACUCUUGAACGUUCUUUGAUUGGUGUCGAGCCAAUCAGAGUUUGAUCUUGUUUUUAGCAAUAAAAACUUGAGAAUCUGCUUUCAACGGCGGUAAGCGUUCAGGAGGUUAAUU
rnacentral:tRNA from 1 species